CCUACGGGAGGCAGCAGUUAGGAAUAUUGGUCAAUGGGCGGAAGCCUGAACCAGCCAAGUAGCGUGCAGGAUGACGGCCCUACGGGUUGUAAACUGCUUUUAUACGGGAAUAACGCGCCUUACGUGUAGGUCUUUGCAUGUACCGUAUGAAUAAGGACCGGCUAAAUCCGUGCCAGCAGCCGCGGUAAUACGGAAGGUCCGGUCGUUAUCCGGAUUGAUUGGGUUUAAAGGGAGCGUAGGCCGCAUGUCAAGCGUGCUGUGAAAUGUCCGGGCUGAACCCGGGCCUGGCAGCGCGGACUGGCGUGCUUGAGUCCGCGGAAAGCAGGCGGAAUUCGUCGUGUAGCGGUGAAAUGCUUAGAUAUGACGAAGAACCCCGAUUGCGAAGGCAGCUUGCUGCAGCGGAACUGACGCUGAUGCUCGAAAGCGCGGGUAUCGAACAGGAUUAGAUACCCUAGUAGUC
rnacentral:rRNA from 1 species